rnacentral:rRNA from 1 species
ACAGGAUUAGAUACCCUGGUAGUCCAUGCCGUAAACGAUGUCUACUAGCCGUUGGGGCCUUUGAGGCUUUAGUGGCGCAGCUAACGCGAUAAGUAGACCGCCUGGGGAGUACGGUCGCAAGACUAAAACUCAAAUGAAUUGACGGGGGCCCGCACAAGCGGUGGAGCAUGUGGUUUAAUUCGAUGCAACGCGAAGAACCUUACCUGGUCUUGACAUAGUAAGAACUUUCCAGAGAUGGAUUGGUGCCUUCGGGAACUUACAUACAGGUGCUGCAUGGCCGUCGUCAGCUCGUGUCGUGAGAUGUUGGGUUAAGUCCCGCAACGAGCGCAACCCUUUUCCUUAUUUGCCAGCGGGUUAAGCCGGGAACUUUAAGGAUACUGCCAGUGACAAACUGGAGGAAGGCGGGGACGACGUCAAGUCAUCAUGGCCCUUACGACCAGGGCUACACACGUGCUACAAUGGUCGGUACAAAGGGUUGCUACCUAGCGAUAGGAUGCUAAUCUCAAAAAGCCGAUCGUAGUCCGGAUUGGAGUCUGCAACUCGACUCCAUGAAGUCGGAAUCGCUAGUAAUCGCGGAUCAGAAUGCCGCGGUGAAUACGUUCCCGGGCCUUGUACACACCGCCCGUCACACCAUGGGAAUUUGUUGCACCAGAAGUAGGUAGUCUAACCGCAAGGAGGACGCUUACCACGGUGUGGCCGAUGACUGGGGUGAAGUCGUAACAAGGUAACC